GCCUGGGUGGCGAAAUGGCAGACGCAGUGGAUUCAAAAUCCACCGGUAUUUGAUACCGUGGGAGUUCAAGUCUCCCCUCAGGCA
rnacentral:tRNA from 1 species